AUACGCGAAGACCUUACCUAGCCUUGACAUUGAUUGAAUACCUUAGAGAUAGAGUAGUGCCCUUCGGGGAACAUGAAAACAGGUGCUGCACGGCUGUCGCCAGCUCGUGUCGUGAGAUGUUGGGUUAAGUCCCGCAACGAGCGCAACCCUCGUCCUUAGUUGCCAGCAGGUUAAGCUGGGCACUUUAAGGAGACUGCCUUCGCAAGGAGGAGGAAGGUGAGGACGACGUCAAGUCAUCAUGGCCCUUAUGGCUAGGGCUACACACGUGCUACAAUGGGGCGUACAGAGAGUUGCGAUACCGCGAGGUGGAGCCAAUCUCAUAAAGCGUCUCUCAGUUCGGAUUGAAGUCUGCAACUCGACUUCAUGAAGCUGGAAUCACUAGUAAUCGUAGAUCAGCAAUGCUACGGUGAAUACGUUCCCGGGUCUUGUACUCACCGCCCGUCAC
rnacentral:rRNA from 1 species